GGGGAUAUAGCUCAGUUGGUAGAGCAGUUGCUUUGCAAGCAUCAGGUCGUCGGUUCGAGCCCGACUAUCUCCA
rnacentral:tRNA from 7 species